AGCUGCUGCAUGCGAAGAAGGU
rnacentral:siRNA from 1 species